UAAGUUUGACAAUAAGAGGAACCAUUAAUGCAUAAUUUAUAGCAUACGGUGGUGUCACAAAAUCGGAGGCCACGACUGUUUACUAAAAACACAAUUCAGAGCAAUGAUGAAAAUCAUAGUAUUCUGGAUGAAAUUUGCCCAAUGCCAUUAACAUAAAAAAGGUAAUAGGAAACUGUUACUAAUUGAAAGUCUGGUUAAUAGCGGUCUUAACUAUGAGGAUCCUAAGGUAGCAAAAUCAGUUGGCCAUUAAAUGUGGUCUGGUAUCAAUAGUGUAACGAUGGUCUCACUGUCUCUACAACUUGCUCAGUGAAAUUGAAUUAUCCGUGCAGAUGCGGAUUACCUCCAGGUGGACGGG
rnacentral:rRNA from 1 species